AACGAACGCUGGCGGCAGGCUUAACACAUGCAAGUCGAACGCACCUUUCGGGGUGAGUGGCAGACGGGUGAGUAACGCGUGGGAAUCUACCCUUCUCUACGGGAUAGCUCCGGGAAACUGGAAUUAAUACCGUAUACGUCCUGAGGGAGAAAGAUUUAUCGGGGAAGGAUGAGCCCGCGUUGGAUUAGCUAGUUGGUGGGGUAAAGGCCUACCAAGGCGACGAUCUAUAGCUGGUCUAAGAGGAUGAUCAGCCACAUUGGGACUGAGACACGGCCCAAACUCCUACGGGAGGCAGCAGUGGGGAAUAUUGGACAAUGGGCGCAAGCCUGAUCCAGCCAUGCCGCGUGAGUGAUGAAGGCCCUAGGGUUGUAAAGCUCUUUCAGUGGGGACGAUAAUGACGGUACCCACAGAAGAAGCCCCGGCUAACUUCGUG
rnacentral:rRNA from 1 species